GUCUUGUAUGAAAGAGAGAAGAUAUGCAUUCCUUUUGACAAGAUUGGAGGAGGCCUGGACAACACGCAUAUAGUUAAGGCAUUGCCACCUACUUGAUGGCAUCUGAACAUGGUUCUGA
ensembl:snRNA